UUGAAACCAUAAAAAACACACAUGCGUCGACACAUGUUUCGGGUGCCGCUCAAAUGCGGUUGGAGCAUGGGAUGCAUGGAGGUUAAAC
rnacentral:sRNA from 19 species